UUUUUUUUUUUUUUUUCAGAAAGCUCUCCCAGAACAAGCAGUUUUCUUUCCUUCUUCAAUAAAAGUCUUGGCACUAAUAAAUCCAGGAGAAAUCUGCUUUUUAGCAAGGCCUGUUGCAAUAGAACAAGGGGCAAUGGUUUAAAAAUAAAGGAGGGUCAAUUUAGAUUAGAUAUAAAGAAGAUGCUUUUUACAGUGAGGGUGGUGAAACACAGGAACAGGUUGCCAAGGAAGACCUGGUACAUAUCUCAACCCUGGAAACAUUCAAGGUCAGAUUGGAUGGGAGUCUGGUAACCUGAUCUCGUUGAAGAUGCCCAUGGUCACUGCAGGGGAUUGGAUCUAGAUGUCCUUUAAAUGCCUCUUCCAACUCAAUUAUUCUAUGAUUCUACAAUAAUCCAAAGGAUUUCAAUAGUUCCUCUUGUUUUCAAAGUAGUAUGAGACAAAAACUACCUUUCUUCCUGAAGGAAAGCAAGUUCCAGAAAAGAUUAUACAGCACAAAUUUUCGAAAACCAUUGCAUUAUUAUGCAAAUAAUGUAAUCUGAUCACAGUUUAUCAGUUCUUAUCACCUGAAACUGAUCACAGUUUCUUAUUACAUUAGGCAUUCAAGCUAUUUCAAAUUGAUUCUCACAGUAACACUUGUAAACCAUAUUAAUCAUAAUUUUAGAAUACAUUUACCUAUGGAUGACAACCAAUUGAUUACUCAAAAGUUCAGUGAGCUAAAAAAAAAACCCUUCUUUUUCAUCCAGAGAUAAAUUCUUAGUGCCUAAAAUAUGUAAUUGAGAUAUGCAUCCAACCAUUAAAAAACAUGUUUAAUGAUAAGUACUUUUCCAAGCCAGCAACUCUUACUACAGCAUGGAUUUUUGUAAGGAUGGAUUUGCUCAUGUAGGCAUAUUUACUGUAGAUGUGUUUUUAUUUGUAUUCAUUGGUGCUGCAGGUUGCACUAGAAUCCAUGAAUCUAUCAUGCUGUGUUUCUUAUACCCUAGAAAUGCAGAAUUGUACUUUUUAGGCUCAGCAUGGUAAGUACAUCAAGUGACGUUUUUAACAACACAAAGGAUGUGUUUUAAUCUGCUGCUAUUUUGCAACUGUAGUAAUAAGACUCUGCUACUGAAAGCCUUCAGAAGCUUUGUGCCAGCAAAUUAAAUGAGGACCUAGAGAGGUUUGCAGGGAUGCAAACUAACUUUUCAUUUGCUUCAUGUACACAAAUUAUAUUUAUGAUCAGCCUGUAGCAGCACAAUCAGCCCUUCAGCAGUGUUCAUGUGACCUUCAGCACCAACUGGAUGCUGGCUGAUGAGAUGGUGCCUGCGAGAUCUCAUUAACUCUGCCCUGUAUUUUGAACCUCUUCUCAUCUACAGGACAGUAUUGGCAAGAGAAGAAAUAAUGAUGGUGGAGAGAAAAGGCCUUGCAGUGCUGUCUGAGAUUCAGGGCAUCUCCCAUCACCUUAAGGAGUCUUCAUAGAUGAGAUUUCCAGAGGCACAUCAGUCUGAAGCAAAAAAAUGGAUGCUAUAAAAGGUAGCAUUGGUAUGAGCCUGUGCUUGUUUUCCACUCUGCCACAGCCUCAGAAGAACGAGGUAAAUGACUCAGCUCUCUACAAAGAUGUAUAAGGCAUUUCCACUGGCCUGGAAGAUCCCAGCUUUGUGACAUGCAAUAGAUUAGGGAAUCUCUGCCAUCAUGAAAUCAGGCUUCUGCACAAAGACUUUCAACUCCUGGGACAUUCUUACAAUGAAUAUAAUUAGCCCCAUUUUAAAGCUGGCAAUAAAAGAAGGGAAGAACUUGCAAAAGACCGCACACGUGGGUCAGUCUUCUUUGGCAGAUGCACUUAAUUUCAGGCAAGUACUUAAAACACAAGACUAAUGAAUUUAAAACUGAAUUUCCUGUCCUGUAUUGGAGGUCAUGCUGAGGAGUAUUAUUAAAAUUAAUUCAGCCCAAAAUCUUAGGGUUAAAAUAAUUUUUAAAUGUAGCCUUAAAAAAAAAUAAAUACAUGAACAAAGACAAGAUCUGCAAUAACACAGAGAAAAUUAAUUACCUAGGCAGACUCCUUUUCAAGUUCAUGACUCAUGCCAGCAUGUAAAUGUCUGCAUGAAGUCAACUCUUAAUGCUAAUUUUGUCACUGUAAGAAAGUCAUAAUGUUCUCUGAGAAAAACUGAGUGCAUACCUUGCUAUUGAUUUUUCAAGAGUCUGACUGGCAGUGCUCUACUAUAACUGCAGAUUUGUGCUAAUGCUCUAAAAUGUUUUGCUAAAUUUAAUCUUUCACCACAGAUAUAAGGGACUCCUGACUAUGCUGCAGUUGGUCUCAGCUGCACAGAAGCUGUGGUCACAGCCACUUAAUUCAUCCCUUUUUACUGAAUAUAGACAUGCAAGUGUAGCACUCAAUAAGCCAAAAAACCCAUUCCAUAUAAUGAUAAAACCACAGUACAAAGAAUACAAAGAGUAGGAGUAAGAAAAGAUGUUUUUUUGUUUGAACUGAUCUGUGGUUCAAAUGUUGCCCCUGGUGCUCCCCUGCCAGAAGCUGCUGUUUAUCAGCCUGGCUGGCAUGGGGUCACAGUGCUGGGCACUGACAGAGCUGCUGAGGACCCAGCCCUCAGUGUCUCCACAAGACCCCUUAUUGGAACUAUCACCUCUGAGCACACAGUAAAUUUAGAGACAUGAGCUACCAGCUGGAGGUAUCAGUUUUUAAUAUAAGAAUUACCAAAGUGAUCCUUGGGUUCUUUUAAUCUGAAUGGAUCAUUACAAGAGAAAGUAAAUGUGUCUGAUGGUCCAUAUGCACGGCCCCACUUGGCCACAUGAUGCCAAAAGCUGCACAUGCCAUGGCUGAAAGUACCCUUUACAUGGGCAACAUCUCCAUUAGGGGUCAUGACUUCAUUAAACUGGGGAAAAAAGAAACACAGGCACAUUGCCAUGAGCAUUUCUCUCUGCUGGUGGCAGGCAGAGCCCAGGCAGCGCAGGCAGGAGGCAGCCAGCUGCAUUGCUGGGCUGUACCACCCCAAAAGCUGCUGCUCCUCUUCAUCUCCCCUGGAAAGUCCCUGGCAGUGAGAGGGAUGUCAGCAUCAUGCUGACACCAGAGGUGCCACCAACAUGAGGACUGCAUUGUGACAGAGCCUCUCCAAACAUGCAGCCAGACAAGGGGCCUGAAGCACCAUGUCUGACAAGGCACUGAGCACAGCAGAGGUUUUAGACUGGCAGACUGAGUGCAGGUCAAGUGUCCUGGCAGCUCCUGGCAUGCCACAGGCUGCCUUCCCACUGCACAAAGCAAAAACAGACAAGUAAAAGGAUAAGAUGGAGGAAAAUGCCUCCUCCCCAACAUCACUUUCUCUUUGCCCAUGGCAGCAUUCAGAGGGAGCAGGGCUCACUCUGUAAAAGCCAAGGCCUGAGGAAAAUGUCACCUGCUGUCACCUGCUGCACCCAUCCUCACCCCAGACACUGGGCGCCCAGGGGAACAGGCGUCCAACUGCUCCAAUGUUCACAGGGGCACGCAGAGCAGGGAAGGGGCAGGAGAUGAAGUUACAUGGGAGUGUCCCUGUGCAGCCCCAGCCGCCCCUCUCCUGCUCUCAGGGUGGCCCCAGGGGAAGAAGAAACGAGUGGAGAGAAGGACAGAGAGAGUGUUGCUUCAUCACAUAGAGCCACACAAUGCAGCAUUUGCACCCAAGCCAGCACAGGUCCAAGCAGGGAUUGGAUGAUAACAUGGCACAUGGGGUGAAAGUCUGAGCUUGUGCCUCCAGAGCAGCCCAGUCUUAUCCCAAAGAGCUGAACCCAAGCAGCACCUGGAGACAACAUGGGAAGAAGCAUCUCUACAUCCCACUUUCUAGGUUAUGUGAAGGCAGUACUUACAUUCAAAGGUGUUAGAGGGAAAGAUAACCAAAGCAUGUAUCCUUUUUUUUUUCCAGAAAAAAAUUAUAUAUCCUGCACUUUUUUUGAAGCUAAUUUUAAGUGUGAAGUGAUCGGUUACUAAGAUGAUUAAUGCCUUGCCAGUAUUCUCAGACAGUGAAAGAGAAUGUGGUCAGCUUAUAUUGAUUUUAUGACUUUGUUAUUAUAUUUUAUUCAUAUCACUGUCGUGUACUUAUGCACACAUGGAACAAUCAGACAACUGGAUAA
ensembl:lncRNA